GGUCAUGAGUCCCAGCGCCAAACCCCGGUUUGCUGGGCGGCAACCCUCCUCGCGGUGGGGUGCCCCGGGUGAUGACCCGGCCGUCUCCCCGGAUCCGGAGCGGCAAGCGCGAUUU
rnacentral:ncRNA from 2 species